rnacentral:lncRNA from 1 species
CCCCUCUCUCUUAUCCAAGUCAUUUCCUUCAAUAAACUGCCUAAAGUAUAAAUGGAAUGUUGGGGUUUGUCUUUCAUGUUCCGAUCACUUUUUGGUCAUCUCGGCACCCAGAACCAAAUUGUUCGGUCUGUCACAUGAGAAGACUACUUCCUGGCGAUUUUAUCAACUAUUCUAGGUUUCAUCUUCCCCAGUUUUUAAGUGUGAAGGGUUUGGAGGCCAUAGUUAAUAGAACUCAUUAUGUAGGCACAAUAAAUAGGGGUGAAUUAGGGGUGAAAUAGGGGUGAAUUCAAGAUGUAAAUGGUGAUUUUGUCCUGUAAAUUGUCAAUUGUUCCAGACUGUUAUUGUGAUGGGGAAACCUGAGUUACCCUUGGAAUUGGGCUGGGUUAUGUGUUUUUACAGUGAUGACAAUUGUUUUGUGUUUGUCACUAUUUACAACCUCUUUGACCAACCAGAGGACAAUUUGUUCACAAUGACUUACCUGGAUAAAGGUUAAAUAGAUUUCAUUUAUUUUUUUUACCACAUAUGGGUACACUUUUUCUCUUCAGAGUUGGACACCAAAAAGGAGAAGCUUGGCCCUUCUGCCACCAUGUUUAAGCUGAGUGAUCUGCUGUAUGGCAGGACCUACAUCUUCACCAUCAGACCUCUGUAUGGAGAGGUGGAGGGACCCAUCACCUCUAUCAACCACAGGAUAGUGGCCAAGGACCGUCCUCUGGUGCCUGUCCAGUCUUCACCUGUCACGCCUUCCCCUCUCCUCCCUCACACCCUCACCGCCUCCCACCCCAACGCAGCCAAAACCACCAAAGCCCACACCCGCUCCACCGUCACCAAAGCCCCCUCCAAAACCACCUCCGGCACCGCCAAGAAACCCCCAAGCACCACCGUUGUCAAAACAGCUGCAGCCACCACCAGCGUUGGCCAUCUUACCACCAAUACCAGAAACGUAUUGGUUUUGAAUACAGAGACAACUGUUGGACCAGGGCCAGGUAACAGACGUAUUUAUAGUACCUAUAUAGAUGAAUAG